rnacentral:miRNA from 1 species
UCGCAGGCGACUACUUAUUC